AAAUCUUUAUACUUAUCCUUUUUAAUUUUAAUACUAAGAACAUACGAGACCUCAUCUAAAUCUUUCAUUUUAAAACUUUUAAAAGAAAUUUUUUUACUUCAUGCAAUAACCCAAGAUCAUUACUGGCAGACAAAAUAUUAUCAACAUAUAAAGAAUUAAACAAAUUAUUGUACUCUCACCGACCUUCAAAUAAAUAUAUUGAUCAAAAAUAUUUUCUUUAAAACCAAAGACCAAAUAGGUUUGUUAAACUUUAAAUACCAUUGCCGGGAGGCUUGUUUUAGUCCGUAUAUUAAUUUCUUUAAUUUGCAUACUAAGUGUUCGUUUUCCUUUUGUACGAAUCCUUCGGGCUGAUUUAUAUACAUCUCUUCAUAAAUAUCUCUAUUUAAAAAGACAAUCUUAGUACCCAUCUGGUAUAGCUCGAGAUCGAAAUGAGCAACCAGAACCAUAAUAACAAAUUCUUUUUAGAUAUCGGAGAGAAAGUCUCUUUAUGGUCAAUACCUUCUUACUGAGUAAACUCUUUUGCCACAAGACAGGCAUUAUAUCGCUCUAUAUUACCUUUCAAGUCCUAUUUGGUUUCAUAAAUCCACUUGCAUUAGACAGGUUCAACUUCUAUAGGUAACUCAAUAAGAUUUCAUACUUUAUUGUGGUUCAUGGUUCAAUCUUAUUUUUCAUGACAUUGUAUCAUUACGUAGAAUUACAACUAUUUAUGGCUUAAAAAAACUAAGAGGAUCAUCUAAGUUUUGGUCAUUCUUAUAAAGAUAGAUAAUAUAAUCACUAGAUAUAAUCGGUCUUCUUAGUUUUAAGUAUCUUCUUAAAUCUAUCUAAUUAUCUACUUAUACAAAUUGUAAGGACAAUUGUAAGGACAAUAGUAGAUCUGCUCUGUGUAGAAUCUGAAUGCUCUUGAAUUUUCUCAAUUUCAACAAAUCAAGGUUCAAAGCUCCCACUGACAGUUUCAUUCUCAAUAAACCGUGCCAUUUCAAUUUUUGCAAUUUUUAUAGUAAGUGAUGGACAGUAAAACUUAUAACUCUUGGACCUUUCUAAAUAACGAAUAAGAUAUCACGAUCUGGUGCGAGGAUCUAAUUUCUUUAUUUGUGGGUCAUACAAUUUAGUCUCAGUUUGACAACUCUAUGUAUGAAAAUAUCUCAAACUGGAUUUCCUACCUAUCCAAAGCUCAAAAGGAGUCUUAAUUGUGGCCUUAGUAGGGACACUAUUAAAAAUAUAUAGGGCGGUUUUAUGUGCCUCACCCCACAGUAAUAUCAAAAUGGAUAGAAUUACUGAUUAUAAUCCUGAGCAUAUCAAUUAAUGUGUGGUUUAUUCUUUCAAUAACACUAUUCUGAUUAUUCGUCCCUAGUAUGGUAUAUUGUAGAACAAUUCCAUACUACUUUUGAAACUUAGUAAAAGGCCCUGAAACUUAGUAAAAGGCCUAGGGACUUGCCCUUAUUUGUUUGUCUACCAAAAUAAUCACAACCCAUAUCUAAUCUGAUUACUUUUAUCUCUCUCUCUAGUUGAUUCUCCAUUUCAGCUUUAUAUAUCUUAAAAACAUCUAAUGUUUUAGAUUUCAUUUCUUUUUAAGUAAAGAUAGCACUAUCAAGAGUAGUCAUCAAUAAAUUAAAUGUGAUAAAAUAUUCACGGCCAGUAAACGAGGGACGAAGAGAUAUGUAUUUAAUAUUCCAUCACAUUUUUUAGCACCUUUAAAGGAGGUUUUUGUAUGCUUUCUCUUGAUGCAGUCCACACACAUUUCAAAAUCAGAGAAGUCAAGGUCAUCCAAUUUGCCUUUGUUGAUUAACCUUUAAAUUCUCUAUUUUGAGAUGUGUCUCAACCUCUUAUACCAUAAUAUGCAUUACUUUCUAUUAUUAAUGCCACAUUUUGAUCUAACAUUUUCAUGUAUGGUAAGAAAGAUUUCUCUACAUGAAUGAUCUUAAAAUACUUUAUAUAAAUUAUUUUCUAAAACAGCAAAACUAUCUCAAACUUGUAAGAUAAUGAAAAAACUUUAUUAUUAAAACUGAAACUAUAUCUCAAACCAACAAAUUUCGAAAUAGAAAUUAAAUUCUUAAAAAAAAAAUUUGAACACAAAAUGUAUUAACUAAAUCCAACAUAUGAUCACUAGAAAGAAUUAAUCUAAAUGUUCCCACAAAUUCAACUUUAGUUGAAUUUCCUUCAGUAGUGUAAUUUCCUUUAGUAGUGUAGACAGUGACUUCAUCUUUACUGAGUUUCUGUAGUUCACAAAUUCCUGCACAGAAUUUGCCAACAUGAUAUGUAAGAUCAGAGUCAAUUCACCAUGUAUUAGAUAGAACAGUAACAAAAUGCAACUUAUGCAUCAAAACCAAAAACUUAUCUUUCUUCUGGAGCUAUUUUUAAUACUUCUGACAGUUCUUCAUAUGACUCAUGUUCUUGCAAAGAAAGCAUUUGGGAUACUUAAUUGGCUUUGUGAACCAUAGUUACCAUACAGGACUUUUUUGUUCUUUUUUUUGAGUCAUUUUUAUCCUUUCUAUUCGUAGGCUUCGUUUGGUUUGGGUAUAAGUAAAAACUGCUUAUUUCAAAGAUAGAUACAAAUUCAGGUAUAAACAAGAACUAAACUAAUUUUCCGUUUGGCUGAAAAUUGUGUUGUUCCCGAGAUUAAGAAAAAUAGCGUUUGGUUAGAUAAGAUGGAAUAAUAAGAAUAGUGAGUAGUUAUAAAUAGAAAAUAAUGAUAUUAUCCCUCUCAUUAUACUUGAAUUUAAAUUUUAGAUUUUAAAUUUUAAAUUUUGAAAUUAAAGUUUAAAUUUUAACAUCUCAAAUUUUAAAAUUUAAAAUUUAAAAUUCAACAAUUUUAAUUUAAGAUCAAAUUUAAAUUUGAAAAUUAUAAAAUAUCAAAAUUUAAAUUUAAAAAAUAUAAAAUAUCAAAUUUUAAAUUUGAAAAUUUUUAAAUAUCAAAUUUUAAAUUUAUAUUUUAAAAUUUAAAAUUUAUAAUUUAAAAUUAUAAAUUUUAAUUUGAGAUUACAAAUUAUAAAUUUGAAAAUUUAAAUUCUAAUUUAAAACAAACCUCCCUCUCUCUCUCUCUCUCUCUCCAAUCUCUCUCUCUCUCGUCUAGGGGUUAAUGUGGAACAAGCUCACGGACGGGUUAUCCAGGAUAACCCGUUAAGGUUGAACUGUUGUUCCCUUCGUUUUUUUUUAUUUGGGUACAAACAAGGAAUAAGUCUUAUUCCUCCCUAUCCCGCAGGGACAACCAAGCACACGCUAGUGCGCUUUAUUAUCCUUUUGAAUAAAGCAAAAUUAAUUGUAUUUUGUUAUUUUCUUAGAUUACCCAUUUAUUUCGCUCUUGCCGCCACUACAAAGUCAAUAAUUUAUUGAAUAACUUUUUAUCCUUAUGUAUUGGUAAGGACUCGAGAUUUUUUGCAUUAUAGCUAAACUCUCAAUUGAUGAUGUUUUUGGUGUGUAAUUUUAAUCUUACAAAACAGCUCGUCAGUUUACGGGCGAAAUCGAGCUUAAACACGGAAAUUCUAACUCGCGAUCUCCAAGUUUCCACUUAAGUGAUCGUAACAUCGAUUUUCCCGGAGAAAGCCGCGGUGAGAAGCUGGCUUCUGGGCGUCGUACCGGACUCUGUUUCAUUGAGCAGUCCAAUAGCUCUUUGCGACCGGCUCAGUCUGUUCUGGAACUAAUGACCUGACAGGAUUUUGGUUGACCGCCGGUUUUCGGAUCCAAAAAUCCACUUCUUAAUAUGCUAUUUCGGUGUGUUUUCUUCUCUUGAAGGAAGGUUGGAUUUUGUCGUGAACUCCGUGUCACAUCAAGACGAAAAACGAAAUCGUAGGCUUGUUAUGUCUCCCGUGGUGGCUGAUCGCACCGGUGCAAUCGUUCGCUAAAUCUGACGGAGCGGAUCUGCAGAGAUCUGCGUUGAUCGAGAGAGGUCGUAGUGGCACAAAAAUGUAUUUUCGCGAAGUCGCAACAUUUUAUGUACGCCGUUUUGCGUGAGAUCGACGUGGAGGGGCGCGUAUAUCGCAUGCUACCACGCGUUUAGUCGUUCGGUGGGAAGCACUCGGAUUGAAUUCCGAUGCAUCUUGGUGAUACUGCAUUUGCAAGUUGCGCGCUCCGGUAGAAUUUAUAGUUGCUGUUAGGUUUGCUACUAGAGAACCAUAACCCUAGCCUUGCCCUAGCCACGACGGCCUCCCUCUCCUUUCCCUGCAGCCUGCUGCAUGCGCGCCCCCAAGCGCCAGCGCCGCAGACUGAGCCCCGCCGGCGUCAAUCCGCCGCUCGCAGCCUCUAACUCCUCUCCCCCGCCGCCUCUCUUUCUCUCUGUCCCUUUUCCUUGUUCUCUCCUCGGUUGUGAGGAACCCGAGACGCCGCCACCUUCGGAUCGCCUCCCGAGUCACUCUAGCCGUCUCCGGCGACUUUCCCGCCGACGUCAACCGUCGCCUACCUCAGCGCAGGCCGCAACGCGUCCACCGCGCUGCAGGCGCGACGCAGCCGACCCUGCCAGAGGGCGCCCGGCAGCCCCGCGGCGCGCCAGCCGACCGCUGAUAUCCUGCCCACUGACCAGCGACGCCCACACCAGCCGUGCCGGGUGUUCCGCAGUCGCCGGUCGCCGCCGCCCCGGCGCGCAGCCGCCAGCACGCCUCGUCCAGCCCGCAGUCCGCUCGCCAGACGCCGCUCGGCCGAGCGAGCGUGGCGACUUUGUCCACCUCAUGCGUCGCCGCCGCCCUGGGCCGCCCCUGUGGCACCUCCCCGACCAUCUGGGGCACAGUCAAGCGCCGCCCUACUGCCUCGAGCCGCCGGGCUAGCGAGCAGCCGGCUCAGGGCCGCGCGAGCCGCCUGCAGCCACUCAAGACGGUUGUGUUUUCUUCUCUUGAAAGGAAGGUUGGAUUUUUGUCGUGAAUCCGUUGGUCAAUCAAGACGAAACGAAAUCGUAGCUUUGUUGUCUCCGUGGUGCUGAUCCGCACCGGUGCAAUCCGUUCGCAAAUCUGACGGACGGAUCUGCAGAGAUCGCGCGUUGAUCGAGGAGAGGUCGUAGUGGCAAAAUGGAUCUUCGCGCAAAGUCGCCGACAUUUUAUGUACCGUUUUGCGUGAGAUCGCACGUGGAGGGCGUUCAUGCCGUUUUAGUCGUUCGGUGAAGGGCUCGGAUUGAAAUUCCGAUGUUGGUGGAUCUUUUUGCAAGUUGCGCCUCGGUAUUAUAGUUGCUCUUAGGUUUGCUACUAGAAACCCUAACCCUAGCCUUGCCCUAGCCCAGCCGCCUCCUCUCCUUUCCUGCACCUGCUGCACGCCCAGGCCGCGCCGACUGAGCCCCGGGGCCAACCGCCGCCGCAGCCUCUACUCUCUCUCCCUCCCUCUCUUUCUCUCUCCCUCUCCUCUCCGGUUGUGAGGAGACCGAGACCGCCGCACCUUCGGACCCUCCCCCGGAGUCACCCCGUGCUCCGGCGACUUUCCCCGCCGACCGUCGCCGUCGCCUGCGCCGCCGCAGCCGCUCCAGCCGCCUGCAGCAGCCAGGGCCGAGCCUGGCCGAGCCGGGCUGCCGCAGCCGCCAGCGCGCCGCCGCCGCCUGAUAUCUCUCCCGCCGACGUCCCCGUGCCGGGCGCCCCUUCCCGCCGGUCGCCGCCGCCCGGCGCGCAGGCGCCGCCGCCUCGGCCAGCCCGCAGCCGCAGACCCGCUCGGGCCGAGGCGAGCGUGCGACUCCACCCUCGCGUCGCCGCCGCCCUGGGCCGCCCCUGUGGCACCUCCCGCACCUCUGGCAGUCGGCCGCCUCUGCCCGAGCCGCCCCGAGCGCCGCCUGCAGCGCGGCGAGCCGCUGCAGCCCUCCCAACCGAGCCGAAGCCGCGUGCGGCCUCUUCCCAGCGCCGCCGCCACCUUGGGCCACCCCGUGGUAACUCCCCCGACCUCCUGCAGCCCGCCUCCGCCGUCCCGGAGCUCCCCGGCCGCCGCCGUGGCCGCAGCAACUCCUGGAACCCGAGCCGAUCUCGUGCGGGCUCGGUUUGCUCCGCCGCCGCCGCCGCCGCUUCCAGCCGCCACCUGAGGUGAGCACGGUACUCCUCACCUCCCCCGCACCCGUCCCUGGUCGCCGUGCGCGCCGCCGUGCCGCCGGAGGCCGGCCGGAGCAAGGUUGCUCCGGCCAAGCCCGAAAUAGGGCUAUUGUGGAUGGAUUUGUGUUCCGAGCUUCCUGAGCCUCCCCGAUCUGUACGGAAGGGAGCACGAUGAUCCUGGCAAGUUGCUGAUCAUCGUGCUCACCUUAGUUUCUGUCGGGGAGACUCCGUUCCGCUGUUUCGGCGAUGUCGCUCCGUUUCAGCCUUUUUGGCUGCUGUUUCGGGAUUGUGCUUGUUUAUCCGGCGAUUCGAGGCUGUCCUGAUGCCUCCGGAGGUGAGCACGGUGAUCGUUGGUCAGUGCUGAUCACAGUGCUCACUUCACUUUGGAUCAGAAGUGUCCAGUUAGUUCUGUGCAGCGCGAUCUUCCCUGACUGCGCGCUAUUCGCUGAACCUUCGGGUUGCUCCCGCGCUUCCCACAGUGAGCCGCUGUGCUCCGGAUCGUGAGCACGGACUCCGGUACGUCGAGACCUGUCAGUACGUGUCUCUGCGGACUUUGAAAGUCCUUGGUUUCCGUGAACGAGCCGCUUGAUCGCUCAAAUUACAUAAAAUGAUGAGAUUUUAUGUAAUUAGAGGGUCUUUUAUGCAAUUGUGCUUUGUGUGGCUACUGUGGGCAGCGUGUAUGAGUUUGUAUUGACCGCUGGACUAAUUGUCCAUGGUCCGUUAGCUUUCGCGGAAAUCGGUAGGUCGAUUUCGGUGCGUUUUUCGGCGAAAUUCGCCGAAAGAACGCGGUUUCGGUUCGGAUCCUUUCCGACGGUGUUUGGUUGCUUCGUGUUUUGUCGCUGAGCCUUGUUGGCUGGUCACCAUCGUCAUUUUGUGGGUUCGAUGAUGAUAGGUGAGCGACGGAGGGUUCCGGUGUCGAAAUAGACACUUCAGGGAACCCGGAUUUGUACGAUUAUCCGGCGAUGAUCGUAUUGUUGUGUGACCUUGUGUUCGCUGCCAAGGCAUCCAAAUUGGAAUGUUUUGGGGCAGCGGGUGACCCGUGGUACGAGUCGGUGAGUUCGGGACACUUAGUGGGUCCCGACGGCGUCCCGGUGUGGUUUUCGGGACUUCCGGUGAGUUACGGUAAUCGGUUUUGGGAAAUCGAUUACGGGGAUCCUUUGUGGGGGUUUGUGAGUCUCGUGCUUUGGGUUAGUGGAUUGGAUACUGACUUGGUGGAUCUUCUUAGGUCCGGUCGACUUGUGCGUACCCAGUGUUCCGACGCGACAGUGACAGGUGGGUACUUCGAUCCGAAGUCGGUACAGUGGUGCACGCUCGGUGAUAUUCUUCUAUCCCUGUUCUUCUGCGCUAUUUUCGUAUUAUAUAUUGAGCUUGCAUCCCCGUUGUUUCUAUUAUGCCCUAUUCAUAUGUUCUAUGCUUAGUAUCAUGUGUAGGAGUAGAGUAGUUUAUCCAUAUGUGAUAUCGGUGACCUGAUUGGUCGGUUCUCGUACUUUGUUCCGGUGACCUAAUUGGUCGGUUCUCGUACUUCGUUUCGGUGACCUAGUUGAUCGGUGCUUUUAUCUUAUAUCUGUUGACCUGGUUAGUCGGUCGUUGCAUUAUGUAUUGGGUUGGUCUGUUUCUUGACUUCUGUUGUUCGAUGACCUUUGAGGUCGGUGUACCCUGAGGGGUAGGAUUGUCGGCUGGUGCUGACGGUAGUUCUGGACUAUGUCGAAUACACUCCUGUGACCAUCGGUCGGUUCUUGCGUUCGUACUUUUAGUUGACAUCGAGCAGUAUCUACAUAUUAUCUUCAUUUACUCUGCCUGGUUGUUCUAUGUGUAGUAUCCUGUAUAGGGGUAGAGUAGAUGGCAUUCGUAUAUACUAUACUUGUGACCUGGUUGGUCGGUUCUCCUAUUUGCAUCGGUGACCUGUUUGGUCGUUCGUUACUUUCCGUACAUUGACCUAUCUCGGUCGGUUCACGUUGUUACUUGAUGACCUACACGGUCGGUAUGCCCAGAGGGGCAGUGAUUGUCGGCUGAUUGCCGACGGUUGGCUAUUGAUCAUAUCCGCAUUGAUCGCCACAGCUCGAGUGCAUUUCACGUACACCAGCGGGUUGAUCCCCCGCAGGAGGGUGUUCUUUUCCGGAAAAGUGGUCGUACAUCCGACCCGUGAGCCCAACGGUGUUCUCUUUGUGCUAGGGUUACAUGCCAGGUAUGAGCAGAUAGUGGCUUUUGCCUGAGGUCCUUAGACCGACACGGAGGUUUAGAUUGGGUACUUUUGGGACUUCUCGUCCGGUUGACGCAUAUAGCUAUAGUAGCGGUUGUUGCAUAUGUACAUCUAGUUCUUUCUUUACAGUUGUCUUGCUACUAUAGUUUUGAUAUCCUUGUAUGCUUGCAGUUGUACAUUACAAUAGCGGUAGUUGUGCUUUAUAUAUAUAUAUAUAUAUAUAUAUCUCGUUCGUUCAUUAUCGUUGCUACUGUAUUUUACUAACCCAUACUGUUGGUUAUCUCUUCCUGAUCCGGUGAGUACUCCUCGCCUUCUUCGGCUUGCGGUACCCACUGGGAGGGGAGACAUGUUUACAUGUUCUCACCUCCCCCACUGUUUUUCAGGUAUUGCAGGCAUUGGGUUUUGGGACGAGACGUGAGGUACGUUUGUAGCGGUCGAUAGAGCUUUCGACCCAGGUUAAUUCGGUUUACUUUCUUACCCUUCUUAUUUUGGCUGAUGAAUGGUCUAGUUGGUUUAUGUGGUUCAGUGUUCAUUUACAUUCGAAAAUGUGGAUUUCUGGAUUUUGUAAAAUAAAAAGUUUUCUACCCCUCGUGGUAGCAUUUUUAAAGAAUAAAGGUUCCUGUGUAGGGAACAGUUUUCAAAAGAUUUUCUAUGGAUUUAUAUUUAGACAUUGAAUGCAUAUCUGUGAUGUGAAUGGUGAAUGUAUGAAUGUAUGGUAAUUUCUAUAUUCAUAUAGUUGUGGGUGUAUCCUGUUUGUACUGUUGUACUUGUGCGACGCCGUGCAAAUACAGGGGAGACUCUGUCCGUGUGAACAGUGGAAUCUCUGUAUUUGUGGCGGGUCUGGCAUACUCUGGGGUCAGGAUUUCAAAAAAAAAAAAAAAUUUCAAACGCUAAUCCGCUGAGUUUCAAACAAAAAGGGGACCCCAAGGCGUGACAUCGGAUUUGAAAAGAGGAUUUCUCAAAAUCCGUAGGAAUAAAAUUUGACAAUCGACAAUCGAGAUCGGGUUUAUAAAAAUCAAAACUAAAAUCGAACAGUCGACAUCUCUUAGGUGCGACGUUUAUAGUCAAAGAGGUAAAAAGCAGUCCAAUAAGUAUAUAGAAUAUACAAAAUUUACGCAAUUAAAUCAUAUGGAGAAUACGUGAUAUAAAAUUAAAUAGUUCAAUUCAAACGAUAAAAAUUAGAUCAAAGCAAAUCAGAUUUAAAUAGUUUUCAUUCUAAUCAUCAAGAGAUAAGUAUUCGGAAAUAAUCAUAUAGCCAUGAACAAGAAGGUUAGAUGUUCUCANUCUGGGGUCAGGAUUUCAAAAAAAAAAAAAAAAAUUUAGACGCUUUUCCGCUAUCUUUUAAACUCAAAGGGACCCCGGGGCGUGACAUGUAUAUUAUAAGAGAUCUAAAAUGGUUUCUAUUCAGAUAGUAAAGAGUUCAAAAUAAAGUACGCUAAGAAUGAAUCAGAGAUGAUUACUUUAAGUGCAUAGAGCUCCACUGCCAUAUUUCAAAUUUUCAUAAUAUACUUAAGAAUCUUGCCUUUUUCGGAGUACUUCAUGAAAGUAGCUUGUUUAUCGGGGUGCUCACCAAAGCUUUACUGAAGCUUACAAAUUGUUGCUCUACUAUAUUCAAAAAAUUGCAAAUUGUCUUACAUUCUGGAAUUGAAUUCUGAAUAUUUUUACUAACACGCUCCUUCAUCAACAUUAAUCUAAGCCGAUUAGAGCAUUCCCACUUUCUUUGAAACGUUGUUUACUCUAGUGUCACGCCCCGGAUGUCUCGUUCUCCGGGCACGCCGACAAAUCUGCCGUAUACAAAGGAAUUUUCCCUUUAUACGAAGCGACAGCUGUACCUGUAAAUCCAACACUACUACUAACAGUAGUAGAGAGCUGCUAGAGAAAACAGAAGCUAAACCAACUGAGUUUCAUAUACAUAGUCUAAAACCAAAAUACAGAGCUACUUGCACUCGCGAGUUAAGUCUACUAUGUACAUAAACUCGAAACAAAACAUCUACCUGCAGUAGGGGCACCUCUAGCUCAGCACGACGGGUAGGGCUCUAACUCGCGACGCUCUUGCCUCGAUCCUGAUCCAUGGAAGGCGCAGCAGCCAGAACCUGUGGCUCUGCAAAACGGGGGUAACAACUGGGCGUGAGAACUACUGUAAAAGCAAGUAGUCCUCAGUGGGUGCCGCCCAAACAACAUCGGUCCACCCACUAAGUCUACAGAGGGGAGCCAGGAUAGUAGGAAAAGCAGGAAGUAAACUCUACCGCUAUCAAUCACUACACUAUCAUGCUCUACACUAACCAACUGUAGGAAAUGUCAAAUCUGACCCAAUCCAAUCGGGACUGUAAACAUACCCGUCCCUGGGACUGUGAAUACACCCGUCCCUGCCCCGUUGCGACUAUCCAGCUACCUCCACACUAACUGGUCCGUGGAGAGCAAGUCCAACUGGCAUGAGCGACACCAACGCAAAAGCACAAGCCGUCUCCGGAGUGGCACUCGUGGGCGCUACCCAACCGAGUAUGCAGCGUAUCUCUGUCGAGCUCAAACAGGCUCUGAAAAGCCAAAGUCAAGUAACCGACUCUAACUGGUCUAACAACCAACAAGUAACGUGCCCUCGGCACAAUCUGACGCCAAAACGACGAACCGGGCCCACCGUCAACCCCAACGGCGCCCAUAAGUCUGAAACAGCCCAAACGACCCUGUAAAAAUCCACUCGGCGUACCAGCACGAGCGUAAAAGUAUUCUAAACUACCUGGAGUACUUGUCUCGAGGACACUGCGACAGUACAAUUUAUAACGGCUCCUAGAGCUAAAUCAGGUAGUAUGGACAGGUGACAGGUCCAAAUCGCUAGUUUUCUCUUAAGUCAAGUUCCAAGUCCAACAUGUAUAUUCAACUAACUACUAUUCAUGCUCCAAAUUCAGAUUUCACACAAUAAACUAAUCGAUGAAUUUGAGCUAUAACAUGAUAUUCCGAAGUUGAAGCUAUACAUGUUCACCAUACAUAACUUAGGAGCAAAACCGAUGAUAAACCCACCUCGCACGCUAAUCCCUGGCAGCGAAACACCCUCCCAGCUGCGACACCACCUGCUGGGUCAAUCACACUGCUCCGAGUCCAGAAAUCGUCUAAGCUCGAGCUCUACACAACAACAUUCACCGUUUUAGUCCAGGAAUCAUAGUAGCAAGGUACAACAAGGAUUCGACAAGGCUAACCUUCACCAAAUCUAGCAAGUAAGGGCUUCGUGGAUUCCUCUCGAAGUCCCGAAUCCAACGAACCAAGUCCUGUCAAAAACCGAUGCUCCUACGCCGAGUACGAGCUGAAAUACCAACGGUCGACGGCGAAAAUAGUAAAACAGCACUUAAGCUCAACUUGUUGAUACUUGAAGCACUUGAAGCCAAUGCAACGGAACGCUCACCUCGACAGCGACUAGCACCGGCGCGACGUCAAGAACAGGAAAGACGCACCCUCGCCCGGCCUCCUCGCAAAGCUCCGGCAACAACCGUAUCCCCGAACGGCUCCGCGACACGACGUCGGCGACGAAUUCGAACUACAACAGUCUCCUUCUUGCUCGGCCGAUGCUAGAGAGAGAGAGAGGAAGAAGAACAAGUAAAACUCUCCUCUCUCAGCUCUCUACGCAUGUAAAUAACAGUAGGUGGGGUGGGGUGAUACAAACGAGGGAUAAAAUUACUCAUUUAGCCCUCUACCUACCCCCUUGUACCGGUACACGGGCUCCUGUACCGGUACAAGAGCCAACCCGAGAGCAGCUAAACCAGUGCGCGCUGGUUGUACCGGUACAGCGUGCUGGUUGUACCGGUACAGCAAGCAAAGAAAUCUGCUGUUUUGCAUAUUUCUUCGCUAUAAGCUGCCCUCGCGUCGCACGGAGUUCAUUUUGCGUCUAUUUGACGCCAACGCGACUCGGACUUGUCCCGACACUCUCCAGAGCUGUCGACAAGCCUUCACAGCUGAACACCUGGGAUCUCACAUCUAGUGUACUUUGAUUUGUAAGAGCACUAGGAUUUUCUCCCCUAGAGCAAAAUUGAGAUCUAUAUACCGUAAGGAAGUGAAUCCUCAAUACGUAAAACCGAACUUCAAUCAAAAUUGAUCGACGGUUAGUUCGGGACACUUCGGAAAGGCCGAAUGCGUCGAAAAUAACUUCUAUAGGGUGCAGAGGACCUUGAAGAGCAAGAUGUUGAAAUUCUGCAAUUUGCAAAAUUUAUACACUCUCGGGGUCCGGACCCUAGCUACAGGGUCCGGACCCCGUAGCCAAAAACUGUCCAGUUCGGGCUGUGCACUAAUUGCAUUGUUUGAGAGGUUUUCAACAAUUAUGCAUGAGUAGAGUUAAAAGAGAGGUUGUAUGAGUUCUUCCUCUUCACUCUCUCUCACUUGUAGCCCUAAAGCUCUCCCUCUCUCUCUCUAAGAAGCUCUCUCUCUCUAGGGUGGAUCAAGAGGAGAAGGAGGUGGAGAUUGGAGCUUGAGGGAAGAACACCAUCAUCAUCUUCUUCCUUUGCAUGGAGGGGAAAAACUUGUUGAGGUAAGCUCUUUGAGCUCUCAUGGUGGAUUUCUAGGGUUAUUUUUGAAUGCUCUAGAAAUGGGUUUAGAGGACUCCCUAGGUAAUAGUAACAUGCUAUUUGUUUGAAUCAAGAAGUGGUAUUGGGUUUCUUGCUAUAGUAGUAUGUUAGGGCUCGAAAAGGGGGUUUUAUUAUAUAAGAGGAUUUGAUCUAAAUUAACCCUAUGUAAACCUAAUUGCUAGGUUUUCUGAUGCGUAGGUGGCCUCGGUUUGGCAAUUCGACGAGGCUACGCGAAGAUAUUGGGAAAAAGGACCGUUUGAGCUUCGUUUUCGCUUGGAGGGCCAGGCGACGUCCAAAAAUCGCGAAAUCGGGUUUCUAGAGUGGUGACAUCACUAAAAGGUGGGGGGUGCCACCCGAAGCAGUUGAGCUGCCUUCUAUGUCUAAGAUUGCAUUAUUGGCCUUGCAUCUCUUAUGUUGCAUGUAUUGUAGGAUCGUAGUUGUUAUAUUCCUAUUCCUUAUGCACUUUCCUAGUGAUAUCAUAUUGUGAGAUGGACACAUGAUAUAGUGGAUAUGUAAGGAUUGGGUCUUGACAUUGGAAAUCCUAUAGUGCCGAAAAAAGAGAUGAACUUGAUGUUAUGUAGUGACAUAACGAGUGGCAUGUAAACAAUAUUGGUGACAUGAUGAGUGGCAUGAAAACUUAGUAUAGAAAAAACACUUAUGACAUAGUGAAUUUAGGGAUAGGUGAAUUCCCUAGCUAUGAUAUAUUGCAUGAGAACUUAGUGUGAUUGAGACACUUGACAUGGAUAAUGGGAUAGUUGAGUUCUCGAGUUGCUAUUAGCCCUAGUUGACAGGGUAUCCUCAGUUGACGAGGAUUGGAUUAUACUCACAGAGUCUGUUUUUGCUUGGGGUGGUCGCUCCACACAAGCAAUGAGCUCCGGAGUCUUCACGUGAUGGACUAAUGUACUUGUCCAGCAGACGGUGUCGUGUUUGCGAGCAAGGAGGGUCUCCUUACCUAUGAGAUGACAUGGUGAGUCAAGGGCAAACCUUCGGGUUAGUCAAGUGAUUGGGUGAACACAUGAAUGACAUUACUUGUUGAACAUAGUAGCAUGAUAGCUGACUUCAUUACUAUAUAGUUUAUGCAUUUAUUUCAGUUGAUAGAGGCAUGGUAGCAUGUUGCAGAUAUUAUUGUAUAGCAGUUGAUUUCAUAUUUAUCUAUUUAUCUAUCUGUUUAUGCCUGCUUAGACUUAGUGGGAAGAUCGGCAGAAUCGGCGGCCGAACCCACUGGGAACUAUGGAGAAUAGUUCUCAUCCCACUUUGUUGCAGUGCCGAGUUCGAGCGGACCGGGUGAGGACAGCGGUAAGGGCAUAGCGCCCUAGCAGUUAGUGGCAUUCCUUUUGCAUUAGAACCACCCUAUUUACAUGACUGUUAGAUGAUGUAUAGGUGGUGAGAUGCUUUUGGAAAGUUGGAUUUACACUUAUGUUAUGAUGAGAUGAACUUGUAAAAACUUAUGUUUACAUUUUGGAAGAUGGAAAUGUAAUCAAUUGUGUAAGUGUUGAAUGUCAAAUAUAAUAGAUAGAAUUCUCUCUUGUCUACUUGUGGUAUUGUGGUAUUACUUGCUUUAUAUCUCGCAAUGAUCAUGUAUGUUGUUUAAGUUUUUUCUGGGCAACUCGUAUGUACAUGAUUCUGUCGACCAAAUUAGCGGUCGCGGGGCGUGACAUAUACACUCUAAUGUAAGUAUGAUUCGUUCUUUCCAUUUCGAGUAAUUAAAACUACUAACCAUAGGAACAAAAAACCAAUAGGAAAAAAGGAUGAAGUUAUCAUUGAAAUAUAAAAUAAAAUACUUGUUUUAUCAAUAAAGUAGCACAUUUAAGUUUUACCAUACAAAAAUUAGAAAAUAUACUUUAUAUGAUAUUACAACAUCUCCUUUGUGAAUAGAAUUAUAAGUAUAUGUAUUUCUCUUUCCUUAUGUAUAAAUAUUAUAUGACAUCAUAACCCCUUCUUUGAGAGCAGAGUUACAAUCAUAAAUAUGCAAUUUUUUUUUUGAAAGAUAGGUAGCGCGCUACCCGCUUCGUCGAUUUCAUUUAGAAAUAAACUUAACUAAAAAUGUGAAUUAAUUUGGAUUCGAACUUUAUGACCUCGGGUACCAACCACCAAGCCCUAUGCCACUUGCUCUAGGGAUAGUCAGUAAAUAUGCAAUCUCAAAAGUUAAUUUAAACUUUCUACAGUUCAUAGCAAUCUCAAGUUUGAGGUAGACUCAUGCGCUUUCGAAAGCAUGGAGGCCUACGUUCUUAUAAGCUGUUUUCGAUGAUAGGAUAUUCGAUUCGACGAUCGACUCAAUUAGACAUGAUCUACGCUAUUAGAACUACUUAGAAACCAAAUUUCAUAAUUUUUUGAUUUGUUUGCUUAGUGACCAAGUAGUCUCAUAAAAAAUGAUUGGAAACUAGACCCAGCAAACAAAUCAAAAUGAACGACUGAAAGUAAAAAUCUCAUAAAAAAUAAUAAUAAAAGACUCAAAUUUAAAAUCGAAAGUAUUUUUCUUGCUUUUGAUGUUAAGUAAAAUUUUUUAUUACAGUUUCAUAUAAUUUGGACUCUUCUACACCAUUGAACAUACAAACGUGUCAUAUUGGCCGUCAAAAUAGUUAUUUUUUAGAUCCUUUGAUCACUUGGUAAAUGAUGUCGAAAAUUUAUGAAAUUUGGUUUCUAAAUAGUUCUAAUAAUAUAGAUUAUAUUUAACGCAGCCGAUUUCGAAUCAGAUGUCCCAUCAUCGAAAAUAACUUAAAAGCACGGAGGCCUAUGUGCUUUUGAAAGCACAGGAGACGUGCUCCUCAAGUUUUUUAUGUGUAGAAAUUAUCAGCUUUAAUCAAGCAAAUUUCUCCAAAUGGGCUAUAAGAAAAACUAUCAUCCUACACAACCUAUAUACAUCUUCAUAUUUAGACCUCCUUUAGGAGCAAACUAAACAUAAUAUUAUGGUGCAAUUUUUGCAUAUGCUUCUUUAAAACAAUUAAUUGAUUUUUUUUUUUUUUCUGGUCAGAACCACUUUGGUUUACGCUUGAACAGUUGAAAUAAUAAAUUAAUCUAACUUACUUUUUUAUAAUUAACAAGAAAAUUACCAAAACCACUAAUUUAAAGUAAAUUAAGCCAUUAUUUUUCUUAAUUAGUGCCGCUUUGGUUUGUAUCUAACCAAUCGAAAUUAUUAAAUUCAUUCAGCUAGCGUCGAGCCUCAAAUAAUCUAACAAUAAUUAUGAUUAUUUAAUUUUCGUAUUAUGUCUGAUCAAAAUAACACACUAUAAUAUACAAAAGUAUAAAUACAAUAAUUUAAGGCAUAAUAUCACAAUCAUAAUGUAAACUUUAUGCAUCCUUAUGUGACUAUAAACACAAGGUAUUUAAAAAUUAACUUUAUAACAAGUCUAUAUUGUAUACAAAAUCAAAAUUCAUAUGAACAAAUUUUUUUAUGCUCACAUCACUUCAUAAAGAGAAAUCUUCUUUAUCGGUCGAAUUUUAAUUACUAACAGCAAUAAAAAUGCCAAUUUGCAGAUUAUUAAGAGAGCUGCUAUAAUCCGUAAUUUGCAAAUUGGUCCCUAUAGUUUUAUUCCACAAAAUGGAACCAAAAUGUACCAAAAAUGCUUUCUUUGUACUUAGUAGGACCGAUGCACUCACAUUUGUCUCACUAAAACAAAAAGCAAAAUAAACCCAAUUUCUAUUAAGCGACUGUUCAUCUUCUUCCUAGACUUUUCAUAAACCCUUGAUCCCUGAGUUAUGAUUGGCUGGAUAUAGAUGAUGUGAUAUAAGUGUUACAUAGUAGACUUUCUUGUAUCCAGCCCAUCUCAUUUACAUUUGUCACACAAUUGCUGUAACAUCCCAAUGGGCCACCUUAAUAAUAAUAAUUGGACUUAAGCAUUUUAGGCUGGUGAUUUGGGUCAAACGAAUUAUAAUUGCUAGUAGAUUGAAUCGUUAUAUUUGAUAUCAAAACCAGUUCACCAGCUGAAAGUGUGAGAUGAGUCUUAACUGAGUUAAGGUCGGAAUGACAGACUAAGUCAGGGUCAGUGAUUGAUAAGCUAAGUCAGUGUCGGAAUGACAAAGACUAACGAGAUAAGUCUCACAUCGUCUGAUAAUCUUGGACUGUGUGUUUAGGACUGACAAGGACGUCAGAGCCUAAAUGGGAGAGUCUAUGACAUCCCAAUGGGCCACCAAAGUAAUAAUAGCUGGGCUUAAACAAUUUGAACAUGUGAUUUGAAUCCAACGAGUUAUUAUUGCUAAUGGGUUGGGUCGUUACAAUCGCGCUAAGUAGUGCCCGAUGAACGCGCUUAACAGGCCCUCGCAAUCUCGGGCAAUCGAGAUUCGGACCGGCGUCAGCCAUGCUUUGGGUUGGCGUCCAAGCAUCCAGGAAGAUAAACAGUGCACUUUUUUUUUUUAUUUUAUUUUCUUUUGGUCUAUUAGUUAUAAUCCGACCCAAUUUAAACUAUGCAUACAAUAAGAGCUUACUGAUUAAUAAUAAUCUUGUUAUGAUACCAAUUGAUAGAUUUAUAUUGGCAUGUAAAAAUAAUAAAAUUAAAUAUAUACAAAUCUCGGGGAUCAAAAAUAGAAUAAGAUAUAACUCACAGAGCAUCAUAAAGAAGAAAUUUUUAAUCAAUCUACGAAAGCGUGAAGUCCAGUUGCAAUAUUAACAUCACUAACGGAACUUGGAUAAUUUGAUUUCUCUUGUUGUCUUAUUGACUCUCUCGCAUGGUGAGGAACAGAUGAUAAUUUUUUAUCAGAAUGCUUGUGAGAAGGUGGCUGGAUCAAUACCUCUUUAUAUAGAGCUUAGAUCGAUCUUCCUAUCAAAAUUUGAUUAGAAAUCUAUUUAAUUUAAAUAAUUAAAAAAUAGAUAAAAUAUAUUAUAUCAAGUAGUUUUAUCUCUACUAGAUUGACUUUUAUUUAUAAUAAAAUUUGGAUUUGAGUAUGAUUAAUUGAGCCAUAUAUAUGUAAAGUUUCUAAAACGCAAAUUUUCUGUUUAUAUUCGAAACCUUGAACCCAUAUUCCACAACAAGAGACAGGAGCUCAAAAUCAAUAAAAUUAAACAUAGAAGGCUAGGGUAUUACAAUUUCUAUUUUUAGUAAAUUUGAUUUAUGUUCGAACCACUAUUUCAUCAAUCCAAACACAACCAAACUCUCUCUGUUUGGCGGCGCUUGUCGCUCGCAUCAUAAUGCGCCAUGUUCUUAACGCCAUUAAAUCGUGUCGUUUCUACAAUACGGGUUAGCUGAAUCGACUAAUAUGAUAGUAGAGUUAUAACAUAAGACAUUGAUUGCAACUUGCAGGAUCAAAAACACAAAAUAGUCUUAAAUGAUGGUCUGGCGGUCAAUUGUAAAGUAAAAUCAAGAGAUGCAAAUCAAUUCGACUUUUCAAAUAGUGUGCAAGAAUUUUCUACCAAUGAGACUGCAGGAAAUACAUGACUGUUUGUCAUCACCGAUAAAUAAUUUUCUUUGCGAUGUGACCUUCCGUUUCUUUAUUAUUACAAAAUAUACUCUUUUAUUUCUUUAUUUGACUAGCAUGAUUUUUAUUUGUUUAUGUAUUUAGUGUCCUCUUAUGUACUAAAACUUUCCUUUGUUGAUUCUAAGAGAAUAUAAAAUUAGUCAAUUAAGAAUUAAAUAAUGAAUCUUUUUAUUAUUAUUAUUUAUGAAUCACGCAUUCUUAUUGAACAAGUUUAUCUUAACCAAAAGUCCUUUUCCUUUAAAUAUUUUAGAUGCAAAAGCUUGAGUUGUUUAGUGGAGGUGCAUGGUUUUUAGACAAAUUUCAAAAAAAUAAUUUUCUAGCUGAAAAAAGUUUUUUUUUUAUUUGUUUGACCUUUGAAAUGUUUUCUUUUCGUUUUCAAACUUUUUAUUAGGAAAAUAGAAAUUAUAAAAAAAAGGUUCCCAGAGAAGAUUUUUCUUUUCUAUUUUCAUUUCGAAAUACAGUUUUCAGCGACAUUCUGACUAUAAGAAAAACGGCAUAUAGCGACACUUUUUAAUAUCGAUACAGGUAAAAAAAAUACUGCUAGCUAAAUUAUCGAUAUUUUUUAAAAGGGUUGCUAUAUGUGGGGUCGCUACAUGUGGGGCCGCCUCGAUGUCACCCACUCUUCCAGCGAUCUGUGGCGGAGGGACACGUGAUGAUCGUAGUCUUCUACGGUCCUUGCAAGAUCCUCGCGACCGAACUCCAACUGUCGAAACUCUACUUUGUCGACUACGGCGGCGAAGGAGGAGAAUGGAAGAUGGUGAUCAAUUUUUUCUUUUUUUUUUUUUUUUAUUCUUUAAGCCAGUGGGCUGGGAGGGGUUGGUUGAGUAGAGGACUUUUUUAUUUUUGAUUGGAUUGGACUUUAUAUUUAGGCUUUAGUAAAUUUUUUUUUAAAAAUUUUGGCAUAAAUCAAACACUUACAUAAAGUGUCUCAAAAAUAUAUUCCUAUAACCUAAUUCUGUUCUAGUGAGAACGAACCAAAUACCCCCUAAUAGAAAAAUUAUAUUUUGGUUAAAAUUCAUUGCAAUCAUGAGUAUUAGAUUCUAUGUAAUCUUCAACAAAAUCGGAAAGCGAGCAAUUGAUUACUAUAGAGCUUUUUAUCUAUGACUUUUAAAAAUUGAUUAAGUGCUAAUGAGAAAAAUUCUAGAAAAAUUAAUACGUGCAUUAAUUGUAUUAUAGCGCGAAGCAAAAUAUCUUAUAAAAAUGAGAAUUGCUUCAAUAGAUCGGCCAAUUUAAAUUUUGCUCAACAGGUUACCAAUCAAGAUCAAUCGUGAAGACAAUAUGGAAAAUAUAUACAAACCAAUUAUCAAAUUUGAUAACAUCCAACAAAUUUUUGUUUCCUAAUUUAACUUUGUUACGUAACAAAUUAGAUAAUGGCUAAUUUGAUAAAUGACAAAUCUUUAUAAAAUUUAGAAUUUAAAAUUUAACUUAAAGUUUAAACUUUAUAUUUAUAAUUGUAUAUAUAAAAUUCAAAUUUAAAUUUAAAUUUCAAAAAAAUUAUAUUUAAAUGAGUAAUACAUUUCAAUUCAAAUUAUCAAUUCAAUAUUAAAAUAACAUGAAAGUUAAAAAAAUAUUAGUCUAUUUUAAAUUAUAAUUUAAGUUACACUGUACUUAGAAUAUUAAAAUAACAUGAAAGUUAAAAAAAUAUUAGUCUAUUUUAAAUUAUAAUUUAAGUUACACUGUACUUAUAAACCCAACUUUUAUUAUUUAUUUAAAUAACAGGUUCUAUGUUUUAAAGGAAGUUCAAAUUGUUAAUCAACAUUGAAAAACAGCAUUAAAGUUCAAAAAUAUUAAUCGAACUUAAAUUUUAAAUCUAGAUUUAAUUUAUAUUAUAGUUAGAAAAUAAAUUUAAAGUUUCUGUUGUUUGAAAAUUAACUUUAAAUUAUAAAUCACUAAAACUUAUGACCCAAUGUCAUCACAAAUUAUUAUUAAAAGAAAUCAACCUUCAAAAUCGAUAAUCCAAUUAAAAAUUCAUUCUCUCCAUGGCAUAGUAUGCAAAACUUUUCAAAAUUGAUUCCUCAACUUUUCAAUAUUGGCCCUUUUUUUUUCCCCAAAAAGUUCAUAAUUUCACGUACUCGGUGACAGAUAAUGCUUGUGGAAUAGCAAAUCAUCUUUUUUUACACAUAAAUCUUAACCCUUUAUUGAUUAGAAAUAAGCGGCUAAAAUUAGAAUGAAGUACUGAAGUAUUGCUCUAAAUAAAUUAGCAGUAAAAUGGAAGUGAGAAAAAUUUUCUAAUAUAAACUUGUUUAUAACUCGGAGUAGAGUUAGAAUGGUUCUAGAAUAAAUCAGGACAUCUACUUUCGCGCCAUUUUCAACAAUGUAGUAUUAAAAUCGAGGAUCAAUACUAUUUAAUUUGAUUUAUACCUUUUGAAUAUGAGUCAAAUUUUGAAACCUUUUUAAUAUCAUUUGCAUAUCAUUCAAGUGGUUUCAAAAUUGACAAUGAGUAAUUUGAGGUUAGUUUAGAGCAAUAAUCACUAGAUAAAUGAUGCCAUAAAAUCGUGAAAUUCGCUUUCUAUGAAAGUUCGAAUAGUCUAAAUUGUUAUUGUUUUGAAUACCCCAUUUCGGAAUACCCCAUAAACGGAAAUAAUACAGAAAUAAACACCUAUAUUUACUGUGAGGGUAGGGAUGUCAAUGGAUACGAAUACUCAAAAUUUUAUCCGAACCCAAAUCCGAACGGGACAGAUUUACUUGAUACUAAACGGAAAUAGUUUCGAAUACGGGUAUAAAAAAUAAAGACCGGACGAAUUUGGUUAUGGCUUUCGAUAUUUUCUGUAUCCGAUCUGAACCUGAAGAAUUUGUAUUUUCAAGGUUUGGAUUUAAUGUAGUAUGCUUUGAAAUGUGGUACGUAGAAUAAUUGUUUCGGACUUGGGUUUGGAUUCGGAUUUCGGAUUUUUCGUCAGACUCGUGUUUGGAUAUGGGUUUAUAAAAUCUCGUGAAUUCAGGUUCGGGUUUGGUAGUUGCCUUCGGGUUUGGAUUUUUUAGAACCUGCCCCGAAUCCGACCAGUUGACAUCCCCGUGUGAUGGCUAGGGCAUGUCGCAGUAAAAUCAGAAGUGAGAACUUGGCUUGGUACAUCGAAAAAUGGGGCUAAUUGGGCCUAGCUUAUCGGGUCGGGCUAAGACCGGUAUAUCGGGUCAGAAAAGCUAGGUCUAAAAUUAUAGGGCCGAAAAGCCCAGGCCGGACCUGAGCCACCUAAACUUUCAAACUCUUAUAUUCACCACCCAAAUUUUCAAAAUUUUGAAUUUAACCCCUUUUAUAUUCAUAAAUGAUGUAAAAUAAAAAAAGGCAACACUGACUUGAAGGAAAUGAUCGGCCAUGGCAUUUUUCAUCGGUUUAAACUACGGCUGGCAAUCCAUCUCGUUGCUCGUGAGCCGGAUCGUAUUCGGCUCGAAAUAAGCUCGAGGUGUUCGGCUUAUUUAAUUAACGAGCCGAACACGAGCUAUAAUGAGUAUCGAGCCGAAAAAUUCAGUUCGUGUUCCGGUUGUUAAUAAACGAGCUGAAAACAAGCUAAAUUUUUCAGCUCGAAAUUUUAACGAGCCAGCUCGUGUUCAGCUUGUUUAAUAAAAUGGAUGAACACGAGUUGAUCCCAGUUCGCUCCUGUUCAGCUUGUGGUCAAGAAACAUUAAAGAAUGUGUGCUAGUCAAAUAGAUAACUAUUUUUGGUGCUAAAUAUCUCUUUUGUGGAUAAAAUCCACAGUAAUUGUCAUAUUUAACUUGAAAAAAUUAAAUGUCAAAAAUUAAUUUCUACACCGUAACACUGAUUUUUGACGGUUUGUGUUCUUUAUUAUUUAUUGACCAUUUGACUAGUAUUGGUCACUUAAAAUUCUUAAAAUAUAAAUAGAUAGUCAAUUACAAAAUUUCAAAAGUUAAGAGGAAAAAAAUAUAAAAUUUUGAAAGUUUACACGGCUAUCCGCAAUAAGUGAAAAUUCUCAAAUUCCUAUUUCCUUUUCACCGGUCGAAACCCGGUCCGGCCGACACGGCUCGGCUUUGGUCAUGCUCUAAACUUUUUUAUCUGAUGAUAUAGGUGAAAAAGUGGGGGUUUUUUUUUAUGCAUUUAGCCCCCUUAAUUUUGUUUUUAAAAUAGCUUCAGUAAAUUUAUAUUUAAAGAAAUGACUCUUUUUCUGCCACACGAGCGUCACGUUGGAUAGCGAAGGGCCGUGUUAAGUUGAAUACAGUGGUGCACUCACUCGCCGUGUUUAAGAGCAGUAGCUGGAUUACCAUAUUCAUAUCAAUCCUAAUCGCUACGUUUCGACUUAGGAAGGAUGGGAAUUAUUAGGGUGCGUUUGGUUCGCACUAUAAAAGAUUACUAGCAAUAAAAAGAUAUCCGAAAAUCUUAUUCCUAUUCAUCCUAUUACUAAGAAUGUGGCAUUGCUGUGUUUGGUUCGCACAGUUAUAUUAUUUAGUCAUGUUAUUUAAGUUUACAAAAAAUAUACAAUUAAUUUAUUUAUUUCUUAAAUUAAUUUUAGAUAAUGCCACCAAAACUUUCAACAUCUUUUUAGAAAAAGGGAGAGAGAGAACAUAGGUUAGAAAGUGGAGAAUAAUUAAAGAAAUAGGAAGAGAAAUAGAGUCGAGAUUAGAGGGAGUGAGAGAGUUGAGAUUUUAGAAAAAGAGGGGGAGAUGAGCUUAGUUUAGAGAGAGAAAAAGAGUUGAAGUUUAAAGAGAAAAAAAAAAAGUUUAGAGAGAGAUACGAGGUUAGAGUGUAAAGAAAAAUAAUACCAACUAGCCGGCAGGUAGGGAGAAAGAAAAAGAUUAGACAUAUUAUGAUUAUCCCAAUUUAUUAAUAUGAUGAUACCCACCCUUCCUCAAGAGAAUGAGAUUAGUACUUUGGGAUGAAUCUAAUUCCCAAGUAAAUUAAAUAUCACCAACUAGAUUACUUAGUGCGUUUAGCCAAAUACCGUCAUAUUUUUUUAUUUCUAUUAAAUUAUUAGAAAUUUUAAAAAGAUAACACGAACCAAACGCACCCUUAAAGUAAUACGGUAAGUAGGUUGUUUAGUCAAAGAAGGUAAAAGAUAAAUAGAAUAAGAAAUGCACAGGAAAAAAGUUUUGUCUUAUUUUAAGUACAUGUAUGGUUUUAUUCUCCUUUAAUUAAAUGGUUCUUUACACUCACGUGAUUAAAUUAAUGGCUUCUUUUAAGGGCAGGUACCCACUUUUUUCUUUUUUCUUUUUUCUUUUUUUUUAAUAUUUGUCUAAGAAUAAAAAACGUGCUUCAGAAGUAAGAAGUUGUUUAUUUAUUUUAGCAUUAAUUUCAAAUUGUCUGCAUGUGGUUUAGUUUAUUUUCACUUUGCCACCCCAUAGUUCAAAAUUUUCACUUUGCCCCCUAUGGUAUAGCUCAUUUUGACUUUACUAAUCUACAUUCCAAAAAAUUACAUUUUACCUCCAUAUGGUUUAGCGCAUUUUCACUUUGCCGCCAUGUGAUUUGUCUUAAAAAUUUGUAAUUUGCCAUUUUAUUUCAUAUAGAGUGUUUUGAUAAAAUAAAAGCCAAUAAAGGCGAAAUGAAAGGUUUUGAUCCACAGAAUGCCAAAGUGAAAAUAAACUAAACUGUAUGACUGAAAACUGUUUGUUAUUGUCAUUUAAUUAAUGGCUCUAACAGAAUAUUUUAUUAAACUUCAAUUCAAGUCGUUACGUAAUAAUCUCGAUUAAUGGCUCUAACAGAAUAUUUUAUUAAACUUCAAUUCAGGUCGUUACGAAAUAAUCUCGAUUCCGCUCGAAGUACUUUCAAGACGAAAACGAGCUGAAUUAUCGCCAUCAUUUUUAACUUUGAGCUGAACGCAUGCCGAUUGGAUUAAUUUCAAGCCGAUUAUGAACUGGCCCAGUUCGUUUGUGCUGAGCUAGUAAGGAUAAAACUUUAGCGGGGAGCUCCCUAGCAAUACCUCAUUGAAGAGCCCCCGAUCCGUCGCCACGUCUUAGUUACCCCUCCAUCAAAGAAUUCAUUGAAUACAAUUCAAAAGAAAAAUAAAGAAAAAAAUUAAUAAUUUUUGGAUACAUGCAAAACUGAUAUAUGGCAGUGAAUCGGAGGCUUUUCAACAAAACAUCAUUUAGCAGCUCUCAACUGAAGUAUAUAUAUAUAUAUAUUUUCCUCCUAAACACAAUCACCAGUUUUAUUAGGCCAAAAUAUAUGGGCACUCCCUAACUAUGAAUCUAUGCAAUUUUUAUGUGCACCAUUCAACUUUGAAACUUAUUUUUAAAAAAAAAAAUUAAACCAAAAAAACAAGAAAAUUUUCUUUUAUAAAAUAUUUCUGUAACUUUAUUUAACUUUUGCAAAAUCUUACUUAUAAUUAAAUAACAUUAUUAGUAACAGAAUCCAAAAAACUGGUGAUUGUCAUUCAAAACAUAAAAAAAAAAAAAAAAAAUUCAGGGCCCUUCUUUUCAUCUAUGACCCUUCAAAAUUUUAGAAUAAUAAAAUUUUCACUUAUCUUUUAUUUAUAUAAUAUUUUAUUAGUUUAUGAUAUAUAUAUAUAAACAGUCGUUUUUCGCAGCUUAGUGCGGAAUUUUCACUGGUUAGAAAUAUUCUCAAGUGUGUUUACUCAUCAAAAUUAGUGCAAAUUUAACAUAUCACUUCUAAAAUCUUAUUUUUUGGGUCCCAAUAAGCUAAAAUUUUAGUGAACUUAUCAUCAGGAAAAUAAUUUUUGUAAUUUCAACAAAUUUUUUAAGGCAAAAAAUAAUCAAAUAAAAGUAAUAGAUCAGACAAUAAGGAAUCAAAAAAAGCAUACUAUAAGCUAUAAAAUGAAAAGCUAUUUUCUAGAUUAAAAAUGAAAACUUAAUGGAAUAGUUUAGGGCUAAAUCAUAAUUUUAUUAACUUAAUUAGUAACUAACUCUCUUUUAAUCUGAAUAAGCUGGCAAAAAUUAACAGUAGAGCCGUUUGUGAUAAACUUAUAUAUUUAGAUCGAGGAAUAUACAUGAUAUUUUAAAUUUUGAAGGAACAUCUAUAAAAUUUUAAAACUUUACAGGAAAAUAUUUAAAAUUUGGCCCUUUGUAAAAUGACCCACAAUCAAUGGAACCACAUCAUUAAUAAAGGGAUAAUUUCAUAAGAUUCUCUGUAAAAGUACCAAAUAAUAAUAUAUAUCCGUACAAAACUUAAGUUAUCAAAUUUAUCCUCGAAAUGUCGUUCCGUCUGCAAAUAUAUAUUCUUCUGUUAAUAAAAUUUAGAUAACCAUAAGUUAAAAAAGCUAACCACAGUUAGUUAAGUGGUAAAAUAACCUUCUACUUCUCAUAUAUAUCAUUUGUAUUUUAAUGUUAAGUUUCGUCAUCUUUCUCAUCCUCUCCUCUUUACCCAUAGUGACGGCAAAACAUUCAGCGAAGGCAACGUCGAAGGCGAGACCCUUGAUCGCGAUAAAAAUGAGGUACACCGCACGUGCGGCGGCGAAGGCGAGGAAAGAGAGGAAAAGAAAGAUAGCUUUUUGCAGGAACAAAUUUGAAAGAGUAAAACAGUAAUUUUAUGUACUCACUAUUCAAAAACUAAUGGUGAAUCAAAUAGUAGGAACAUAUAUAAACAAAUUAAAUUUUUUUGGAGGAAUAUAUAGGCAAAUCAUAAAAUUUUUGAUGAAAUAAAUCUGAUAACUGAAGUUUCGUAGGGAUAUAUUUGCUAUUUAAUAUCUUUACAGGGACAUGGACGAAAUUUACCCUACAUUUAACCCUUUUAUUUUUAGUAAUGAAUUGACCUGGUUAAUUCUAGUCUUAUUGUUUGGUGGUCCUCUUAAUUAAAUUAAUUGUAAGGCCAGCUAAUAUUGUUGUACCAUCUAAUCACAUUUCUAAAUAAGUUUGAUUCUUCUGUUGGAGAGUCCCCAUCAGAGUAUGAUUGUAGAAACUGAAUGGUGACCAUCAUCUUCUGAUGAACGGCCGAUAUUGAUCGAUCGAUCGAUCGAUCGAUCACACACGUAUCUUAAAGGAAUUUUGCGACUUACUAAUUUUGCUUCUUUUUUUUUUUUUUUACAAUAAUCUCCCUAGAAUAGGAAAAAUUGAUGCUUGAACUUCUAAUGUUGAUGGGCCUAGCUAGAGUGACUCACUACCUCUCACCUCGACCUCUAAAAUCAAAUCAUGCUUUAAGAUAAGGGUUUGUUGGGUUCGCCUGUUCUAGAUUAUGGAAUCAGAAUGAAGCAUACUAAUUCAGUAACUAUUAUUUAUUUUACAGGAAUUAAAUUUUGAAUUUUAUUUUACUAUGAAAUGGAAAUAGUUCAAUUUAUGUAUAACUUAAUUUGGUUUUGAGUUUUGUAUUAGCCCAUUUCAGAAUAAGCCACUCAAAAUCUUUCUCAUAAACGCCUCUCCGUUCUCUCGCUUUAUCGCUCUCCUCUUCCUUAAUAAAAAGUCCUCUCGCUAUAUAUGGCCAAUUUGCAUAAAAAAUCUAUUGGUAGAGCUUUUGCAAAAAUAAGCCGUCUUCUUGAAUUUUACAGAUUUGGGCCGAAUUUUCAAAAAACUAACCAAAAUACCUUUAUUCCCUUAUCUCUCUCUCUCUCUCUCUCUCUCUCUCUCUCUCUCUCUCCGAAGAGGACGUCGGAGGUGGAGGCGGCCCGCCUCGCCUCUGUCCCAUGCACCCUUGCCCUCGCCUUCGCACCCUUCCUCUACCUUCCUUGCCUCUAAUCCCGCUGAGGCUGUGCCGCGACUCUUUUUUUUUUUUUCCUCUACUACCAUGCUCCACCGCCUCUCCAGUUCUUUACAAUAAUAAAGAGGGCAAUGUCACGUCAUCUUGCUCUCCUUUUUUUUUCUCGUUCUUUUUUUUUUCUCUUCGACCCACAAUCCAUCGUCUUUGCGACUGUCCAUAAUGGUAACGAGGAUAGUGCCGCAUCCUUUUUCUCCGCUGACGCCGGUGCUAGAGAAGGGAACUCGGAGAGAGUACGGGUGAGAGCGGAGCCAAGAAAAGAAGAUGCAGAAAAUAAAAAAUAAAAAGAAUAAAGAAUAAAACACAAAGAAAGAUAUUUUUUCUACAAAAAAAAUAAAAAAUCAGAGAGAAAAGAAAAAGAUGAUGAAGUUGUACUAUUUUAAGGAAACGUUGCACUGUUUCAAAAAAACGUUGCACUAUUUUAGAGAAAACUUACACUCUUUAGGAGAAAAUUUAUACUUUUUUGAACGAAAGUUAUACUCUUUAAACGAAAGUUGCACUUUUUAGACAAAACUUAUAUUAUUUCUCCUUUUCUUCCAAUUUCUUCUCCUUCAUCUUCAUUUUCAUGUGUUUCUUCUCCGCCUAUCUCUUCUUCGCCCUCCACCUCUGUCAGCAGAUCCUCCGCCCAUCUCUCUCUGACCAUCUUUUUUUUUUUUUCCUCUCCGGCGGUGGAGGAAGGUCGGAGAGAAAAAAAAAAAGAGGGUCACAGUACGGCCUCGGUGGGGUUGGAGGUGAGGAGGGUGGGGAGUGUGCGAGGAGGGCGGGGUGACACGGUCUUGGCAGGGUGGAGGCGAGGAGGGCAGGAGAGUGCGACCUUGGUGAGGGUGGAGGAUCUGCUGAUAGAGAUGGAGGGCGAAGAAAAGAUGGGCGGAGAAGAAACAGACAAAAACGAAGAGAAAGGAGAAGAAAGAGAAGGAAGAUGAGAAAUAAUGUAAUUUUUGCCGAAAGAGUGCAACUUUUGUCCAAAAAAAUAUAUUUUUUCUCUUAAGGAGUGUAAUUUUUUAUAUUUUAAUUAUUUGGAAGGGCAUAUUAUACAUCAUACCAUAUUGAUUGUCAAAAAAUACUAGGUACUUUCAAAUGCACCCUCUAAAAUUUUAAAAUAUUUGAUUCUUCUUCUUCUAAAUCUAAAAUAUCAUAUAUAAGUACAUCCUAAUUAUACAAAUUUAAAAUAAAUAUAAUUACUCUACCAGCAAUAAAAGUAAGUUAAACACUAGUUUACUCAAUAAAACAAUGAUUUUAUUUUCAAUUAAUUUUUUGUUGGGUAAUAUAUUAAUAUAUGCUAUUUUUUUUUACUUAUGAUACAUUUUUCCAUUUUAUAGCUUCUAGCAUGAUUAUUUUUAAUUAUUGAGGCUACGUUUGGUAUUAUGAUGGAAAUGAUUGUGAGGCUUUUUUUUUUUUUUGAGUAUUUCAUAGUAUAAAUAAAGUAGUACCGUUAGUAACCACAUUAUCAAACUAGGCUUUAAGUGUGUGACCUUUCAGUUUUAUUUAAUUAAUAUAUUGAAAAUUAUUAAAUUGAUAAAAAUUACUUUAGAUGAUAAGUUUGAAAGAUUAAAUAAAAUUCUAAAAAUUAUACAUCAAACUUACCUAAUUUUGAAGAGAUAUUGAUAAAAUUAUGGUAUACAAAAAGCAUGUUCAAGAAAUUAUUCCACAAAUAUUAUGCCUUUUGAAAAAUAUUAAGAAUAUUUUAAUUGGCGAGGAUUCGUUUGGUAUUGAGACUAUCUAAUACUAGUAAAUAAAACAGAGUUGAGACGAACUUUUAUAGAGAUAUAUUUCUCUAUAAUUUAGUGAGAUCAUGAAAAAUAUAUUAUAAUAAUCCGAGUGCGAUAUAUAGAAUGUGAUAUUGUAUGCGAAAAUAAAUAAAAUAUUUUUUAUCAUAUUCUCUAACCGCACAUAUCACAAUUUCCUUCCAAUCCCUAACGGAGGGCAUAGCUUGAUAAUGUGACAAUUAUUGUUCGAGAAGCAUAUCUCUAUAUUUUAGUAGGAUCAUGAAAAAUAUAUUAUAAUGAUCUGACUGCGAUAUAUGAAACGCGAUAUUAUAUAAAAAAAUAAAUAAAAUAUUUUUUAUUAUAUUUUCUGACCGCAUAUAUCACAAUCUCCUUCCAAUCCCUAACGGAGUCUAAGGCAUAGUUUGAUAAUGUGACAAUCACUCACUAUUGGAGGAGCACGCUGAUAAUGUGACAAUCACUCACUAUUGGAGAAGCACGCAAGCACUUGCUUCUCUUGUGGUGGUUGAUACUGUAAUUUUAUCACAUAAAAAGGUGAAAAUUUUAAAAAUACUCUAAUAUUUUUAAUUUUAAAAAAUUUUUAAAAGUAGAAAAAAAAAAUUUCUCCUAACCACCAUGCAUAUAUAUUACUCAUCGUUAUUCACAUAUAAGUUUUACAUUAUGUCCUAAAAUUGCACGCAUAUUAAGGCACGGGCCGACAUUAAAUAAUUUUAGAAAAAACUUCAAAUAUCCUUCUGUGGUUUAGUGCUUUUUUACUUUAGUAUCAUAUAGUUUAAAAUAUAUUACUUUAGUAGCAUAUAAUUUCGUUUUUUUCUUUUCGUUUUUCCCUCUAUCAACUCUCUGUUAAAAAAUAUAUAUAAAAAAAAUCUUCAAAUAUCCUAUGUGGUUUAUUGAAUAUUCACUUUAGUAUUCUGUGAUUUAUGAAAUUUUUUAGUUUAGUACAUCAUAGUUUUAACUUUCUCAUUUAUUUAACAAAAAAAUUAAAGGAGGAGAUAACAAAAAGAAAAAAAGAAACUACAUGGUUCUAAAGUGAUAUAAUUUAAAUCACAAGUUACAAAAGUGAUAAAACGCUAAACCACCGAUGUGGUAGGACUUUUUUACAAAAUAACCCUCUAAAUGCUUGUAAUUUGCAAAAUAAUCUUGUUAGAUUUAUAUUUGGCAAACUAACCCUCUAUUCGCCGUGUAGGAUUUUUUUUUCGAAACGCGAUGAAUCGUUCACAACAUUCUGAAAGACUCCUAGGACUUUUAAAGGCGAUUAAUCAUUCACCACAUUCAUUAAAAUGGUUAAUGAUUCACCAUCUUCGUAAUUGUUAGAAUUGGACGUAAAUUAUUUGAGAAAUAGAAAAAAACUAGCUUUUCACCCAUGCGAUGCACGGCUAAUAUAAUAAUAUAAAAUAAUAAAAAUUAUUACGUGAUGAUAAAAAAAAUAUUCUAAUUAAUAUUAUAUUUUUUUUAACAAAUAAAAAAAUAUACUAUCAAUCUUAAUUAUAGUACAUAUUAAAGUACACAAGCUAGAGAAAAAAAUUUUUGGACCAAAGUAAAUACUCAAGUAAAAUGCAAAAUUCAACCAUGCUCUAUUAUCUAUGAAUUGAUGUGCAAAAUAAUUUACAUUUACAUAUUGGUGUGCAAAACAAAAUAAUAACUAAAAUUGAUAUGAAAAAUUACAAAUGACAUUAAUAUUUAAGUUUAUAAUAGAUUAACUAAACUUUCAUAUUUGACACAAAUUAGAGUAGGCACACGUAUAUUAUUUCCCUACUGUCACAUUUAAGAUUCAAAAAUAUAUAGAUGUUGGUGUUCAAGAUAAUAUAAAAAAAAAAAAACUUUGUAUAAAGAUAGAAAGUUACAGGAGUGACAGUAGGUAAAUAAUGUGUUCUAUUUUAAAACAUUAACAUUUAAGAGCUAAGAAAAUUACAGGAAUGACGUGAGUUUUAAAUUUUUUCCUCUUUCCAAAAAUGUCUCUAUCCUUUUUUACUAAUAUUUUUAUGUUCAGAAAUUUUCAACCAAUCAUUUCAAAUAAUUAACUAAGUAAUAAUUUAUUCCCAAAUAAAGAUAAAUAUUUUUCUUUUCAUGCGUAAUAUUCGCACCCGCCAAUUCUUUCGCAACGUAAUAUCCGUAAAUUUCUCAAAUAUCUCAAUAUAAUUAUAUGUGACUUUGAAAUAAAAUUUCCUUCAGUGUAGAUAAUUUUUAAUAAUAUAGUAAAAGAUAUUAAUUUUUUAUAAAAGCGUGAGUUUUGAAUUUUUUUCUCUUUCUAAAAUUGUCUCUAUCCUUUUUUUACUAAUAUUUUUAUGUCCAUAAAUUUUCAACCAAUCAUUUCAAAUAAUUAACUAAGUAGUAAUUUAUUCCCAAAUAAAGAUAAAUAUUUUUAUUCUCACGCAUAAUAUCUGCACUGGCCAAUUCUUUCGCAACGUAAUAUCUGUGGAUUUCUCAAAUAUCCCAUCAACAUAAUUAUAGGUGACUUUGAAAUAAAACGCCUUUCAUUAUAGGUGAUUUUUAAUAAUAUAGUAAAACAUAUUAAUUUUUUGCCAUUAGAUUUUAUCUAAUGAUUGAAAAUAAAAAUAUCUGUUUCUUUUGUGACAAUAUUAUCCUCGUAUUUAUAUCCUAUUUUCUAUCUACGCGUUUCUCAAAUAUUUUUCUUCUUACGCGUAAUACCCGCCAAUUUUUCGCAACGUAAUAUCCGUGAAUUUCUCAAAUAUCUCAGUAAUCCACGUACCAUUUGAAUUUAAUAAUAUAGUAAAUAGAAUAAAUACGAUGACACGUGGAAAUCAUAUAGAAAGCCACAUUAGAAAAAAUCUAAUUUUGUUUUCCAUAAUGUAUUAUUUCCGUAAAAAAAAUCUAAUUUUAUUUUUCCUAAAGUAUUAUUUUUUAAAAAAAUCUAAUUUUAUUUUUCGUAAAGUAGAAAAUCUAUAUUUGAGCUUGACACGUAGAUUAUUUUUUCUAAAUUAGUAAUAUCCGCACCCGCCAAUUCUUUCGCAACUAAUAUCCGUGAAUUUUUCAAAUAUCUCAACAUAAUUAUAGGUGACUUUUAAUAAUAUAUAAAAGAUAUUAUUUUCUAAAAAAUUUUAAUUUAAUUUUUUCUAAAGUAGUAAUAUCCGCACCGGCCAAUUUUUUCUCAACGUAAUAUACGUGAAUAUUAUUUCCUUAAAAAAUUCUAAUUUUAUUUUUCUUAAAAUAGUAAUAUCUACACAACAUAAUUAUAGGUGACUUUAAAAUAUUUUCUAAAGUAGAAAAUCUAUAUUUGAACUUGACAUGUAGAUUUUUUACAUAGUACGUGAUAUUAGGUGACUUUGAAAUAAAAUCCCCUUCAUUCAUUAUAGGUGAUUUUUAAUAAUAUAUUAAAAGAUAUUAUUUUCUGAAAAAAAUUAAUUUUAUUUUUUCUAAAGUAGUAAUAUCCGUACCCGCUAAUUCUUUCUCAACGUAAUAUUCGUGAAUAUUAUUUUCUUAAAAAAUUCUAAUUUUAUUUUCCUAAAGUAGUAAUAUUCGCACAACAUAAUUAUAUGUGAUUUUGAAAUAUUCCCUAAAGUAGAAAAUUUAUAUUUGAACUUAACACGUAGAUUUUUUAUAUAGUAAAAGAUAUUAUUUACUUAAAAAGUUUAUUUUUAUUUUUUCUAAAGUAGAAAAUCUAUAUUUAAACUGACACGUGGCAUUGUAAAGCUGAAAAGUAAAGAUCAUAGGCUUCUUAAUCAAAUUCAUUAAUUUGAUUUAAUUAUAUUCCUCUAUAUUUAAUUAUAUUUAAUUAGUAUAAAAAUCUAUAAAAUUUCCUAAUAAUAUAUUAAUUUUAUUUCUUAUUUACUAUAAUAAUAAGUUGUAUUGGGAAAUAAUAAUUAAUUAUUAUUUCCUACAUAUUAUAAUAAUUCAGAAAAAUCUAUUUCUUAUUUACUAUAAUAAUUAGAAAAUAAUAAUUCUUUAUUAUUAUUAUAUUAUAGAAAAAUCUAUUAAGCGGCAAGAAUUUAAUAUUAUAAUAUAUUAAUUUUAUUUCCUAAUUUAUUAUAAUAUGGACUAUGGAAUAAUAAUAAAAAUAAAAGUUAUAGAUUUUUUCCUAAUUAAUAAUUAUUCCAUAUACUAAUUUCCUAAUUAAUAAUUAUUCCAUAUAGUAAUUUCCUAAUUAAUAAUUAUUCCAUAUACUAAUUUCCUAAAAAAUUAUUAUUAAUUAGGAAAUAAAAUUAGUAAAAUUAGGAAAUAAUAAUAUGGAAUAAUUANAAAGUAGAAAAUUUAUAUUUGAGCUUGACACGUAGAUUAUUUUUCCUAAAGUAGUAAUAUCCGCACCCGCCAAUUCUUUCGCAACGUAAUAUCCGUGAAUUUCUCAAAUAUCUCAACAUAGGUGACUUUUAAUAAUAUAGUAAAAGAUAUUAUUUUCUGAAAAAUUUUAAUUUAAUUUUUUCUAAAAUAGUAAUAUCUGCACCCGCCAAUUUUUUCUUAACGUAAUAUAUGUGAAUAUUAUUUCCUUAAAAAAUUCUAAUUUUAUUUUUCUUAAAAUAGUAAUAUCCACACAACAUAAUUAUAAGUGACUUUAAAAUAUUUUCUAAAGUAGAAAAUCUAUAUUUGAACUUGACAUGUAGAUUUUUUACAUAGUAAAUGAAAUAAAAUUAAUAUAUUAUAAUUAUGUUGUGUGGAUAUUGGAAUAAUUAUUAAUUAGUAAAAAUCUAUAACAUUUAUUUUAUUAUUAUUCCAUAUUCCAUUUCUAUAUAGAUUUUUCUAUAUAGAAUAAUAAUAAAGAAUUAUUAUUUCCUAAUUUUUAUAGUAAAUAGAAAAUAGAUUUUUUUAGGAAAUUUAUUUACUAUAAUAAUUCGAAAAAAUCUAUUUCCUAUAAUAUGGACUAUGGAAUAAUAAUAAAAAUAAAAGUUAUAGAUUUUUCCUAAUUAAUAAUUAUUCCAUAUACUAAUUUCCUAAUUUAUAUUUGAGGAUGACACGUGGCAAGCACAGAGGGUGCCAUUAGUUUUAUACUAAUUUCCAUAUGCUAAUUAUUCCGUAUACUAAUUUUCUAAUUAAUAAUUAUUUUCUAAUCUAUUUACUAUAUACUACAUUUGAAGAUGACACGUGGCAAGCCUAGAAGGUGCCACGUGUCAGUUUUAUACGAAGUGAUCACCCAGGGUUCUACUUUAGUAUAUAGUAAAUAGAUGAGGUUGUUAGAAUUAGACGUGAAUUAUUAUAAUUUUAAUUAUUUGAUUGUUAAAUUUGUAUUGAUAGAUUAUUAGAAUUUUCAGAUUGUUUUAAGAUUAUAUGUGAUUUGUCGAAAUUUUUAUGUAUUUGUUAGAAUUAUAUAUGAUAUAUAGAAAGAAAGGGUAAAUAAACAAAAGACGAUGAAUGAUUUAUAGAUUUGAUGGAAAAUUAAAAAUGUAGUAAAUCGUUAACCGUCUUUAUAAAAGAAAUGAAUUGUUCAUCGUUUUUAAGAAAAGAAUUUAACGUGACAAAAAAAAAAAAAUUAUAAAGAAAUUUAUAAAAUUAUUUAUUUAAUUGAAAAUUUUAAUAAGGUGAAAAAAAGCAGUCCACGUAAGCCCGCAAAAUUCUUCUCAGGUGAGUAGUGGGUGUGCCGUGUUCGUCGUUCGUUUGCCCUGCGUGUCGGUUCCACCGUCCCUUUCGGAUCAGACGGCCGACAACGGAGCCGACGAUGGCGCACAAAAAUCGCCACGUGGACAGCUCGCUCGGAGUCGAUCGGGACCGUCGGUGGCAUACUAGUAAUCAGCCCGCACAUUCCGACAAGAAUUAUAUUUUAGCUUUAUGAAUUAUUAUUAUUUUAAAUUUAGUAUAUUUGUUUUAUAAUAUAUAUAUAUAUAUAUAUAUAUAUAUAUAUAUAUAUAUAUACUUAUAAUGAUAUUAAAAUUUUAUAUUUUGAAAUUUAGUUCUGCCGACAGAUCCAAUUUUUAGCAAAAAUAAAAAAAUCCUCUCCCCCUAAAUAGCAAAAAAAAAGAAAAAAAAAAAGAAGGUCUACAGCAAGUCUUUUCUAAAACUUUGAUUAUAUAUAAUAAUUAAAAUUUUCAAAGAAAUUUGCCAGAUUCGUCCAAUUGAAAGAUUUCCGAUGGCGUCUUACCGACAAGCUUCCGAUUCACUUUUUUUUAAUCCAUCAAUUUAGAGUUUAAAAAUUAUUUUUAAAUUUUAAUAUUUUAAAAAAUUUCUAACGAAUAUUGAAUAGAGGCAAAACUGACAACGAGACGUGAUUUGGGAAUGUUUUGUCCCUCCUACACCUUAAUUAAUUUUUUUUUAAAAAAUGCACAUUUCUCUGUCCUAAUUAACUAAACACUCCAAACCUACCUCUUUCAACUAAUUAGUUAGAUUUAAUUUCCACACCCACCUCUUUCAUCUUAAUUAAUCAAAUUUUCCAAACCCUUCUUAAUUAUCAUAUUAAUUAAAAUUUCCCAAAACUAUCUCUUCCAUCUAAUUAGCUAAACUCUAUUUCACCUAAUAAACUAAAAUCUAAAACCCACGAUCAUUUCUCUCUCUCACUUAAGAUAAUGGAUAAAAAAUUUAUGAGCAGAUUCUCUGUGGUGAUACGUUACAUCCAUCCAUCGUUCAUUAUACUUUGAGGCUUCGUUUGGUUCACGAAUUAGUAGAAACUGCUUAUAUCGGUGAUAGAUACAAGCAUAGAUUUUUGUAAGAACAAGAAUAAUUUUUUGUUUGGAUGAAAAUGUGAGUAUGAAUUGGAACUAGAAAAAUUGUGUUUGGAUGGUUAUUGAAAAUAAGAGAAAUAGUUGAUGGUUAUAGAUAAAAAAUAAUGAUAUUACCCCUCUCAUUAUAUUUGAAUUUUAAAUUUUAAAUUUUAAAUUUUAACUUUUAAAAAUUAAAAAUUAAAAAUUAAAAAUUAAAAAUUAAAAAUUUAAUUUUCAAUAUCAAAUUUUAAAUUUAAACCAAAUUUAAAUUUAAAAGAUAUAAAAUAUCAAAUUUAAAAUUAAAAAAUUAAAAAUAUCAAAUUUAAAAUUUAAAUUUUAAAAUUUAAAAUUAUAAAUUUUAAUUUUUAGAUUAUAAAUUUUAAAUUUUAAAAAUUUAAAUUUAAUUUUAAAACAAAAAAUUCUCUCUCUCUCCUCAUCAUCUCUCUAGGGGGGUGUACGUGGAACAUCGAAGUUGUUCACACCCAAUGAAUCUUAAUUUGGGUUAAAAGUGGGAUAACCCCUUACCCCUCCUUGUAUCCCAAUCCAAACGCUCCUGAACAUUUUUAUAUAUAUAUAUCAGGUGAUUGAACAACCAAAUAAGACCGUCUAAUUUGUAGACCUCUCCUCAUGCACUUGGCAAAAUAAACUUGACGUCUGAACAUAAUGGAUGGCUUCUUCUAAUCCUUGGAUAUUCCAAACAAAAAUCGACCCCAUUUGGCAGUUAAUAUGAAUGUUUACUUUGACUUAAAUUUAAUGCAGGAUUAUUUUCAUGCAGACUCGAAUUUAUAAUCACUUUUUUUUUUUUUUUUGAAGAAAGGUAGGCAUGCUACCGCCCCGUUCGCCUUAUUUAUUAAAGAAAUAAACUUAUGCUGAAAAACGAAAUGGAAUCAACUAGGAUCGAACUUUGGUCUCGGUACCAAUCAUCAAGCCCUUAUUUGCACAUCUUGCGCUAAGGGACUGUCGGUGAAUUAUACAAUCAACUUUUGCUUUCAAUUUAAUUUAUUGUCUAUGUAUGUAAUUUGCAAGAUAUCGGAUCUGUUAAAAAAAUGUGAAUUCCAAAGGACGGUUUAAAUUUCAAAUCUCUAUUUUUGAUUUUCAUUUCAAUGAACAUACUCGGAGUCAUUCUAAAUUAUUUGGAUUCAAAGAUAAAUCUCUUUCUAAACUAUAAAUGUUUUUUUUAUUUUUUACACAUUUGUAUUGGCGCGCAUGUAUGUGUAUUUUCUUUAUUGUUUUCAGCAUUGCGCAUGUAAUUGGCUUCCAAAGCAGUUUCUAUUUGAUAUGAUUUUCAUUUCUCUUUUUCAAAUCAGUGAAAAUCAUCGAUCAUUAAUGAUCAACAUAUUUUAUGACUAUCAUUCGAAGAUUCUAGAUAAAAAAAAAUAUUUAUUAUUUUUUUUUUUUGAGAGAAAGAUAGCAUGCUACCCGCUUCGUUUAUUUCAUUUAGAAAUAAACUUGGCUAAAAAUGUUAAUCAACUAGGAUUCGAACUUAAGUCUCGGGUAUCAACCACCAAAUCCUUUUACCACUUGCGCUAGGGACGGUCGGUUUAAAAAAAAAAAAAAAAUUAAAAAAAAUAUUUAUAGUUAUGGCUAGUAUUUAUAGUUAAAAAAAUAAUAUAGUUAUGGCUAGUAUUUUUUGGUUUAUUUCAUUUUUUUAUUGUUGUGAUGAGAAAUUUUAUCGUUAAUUAUAAUUAGACUAAUAUAAAAUAAAUUUAAAAAUAAAUUUAAAUUAAAUUUUCAUAAUGUCACAUGGCAGUUUAUGCAUCCAUAAAACUAGGCUUUUAUACUUUCGAAAGUACGAAAACCUACGUGCUUAUAAAUUAUUUUCAAUGAUGGGAUAUCCAAUUCGAUGAUUGGUUUUAUUAGGUAUGAUCUACGCUAUUAGAACUAUUUAGAAAUCAAAUUUUAUAAUUUUUUGACUUUAUUUACCUAGUAAACGAAUAGUUUCAAAAUGAAUGAUUGAAAAUAAAAAUCGCACAAAAAACGAUCUUGACGUUAAGUAGAAUUUUCUAGGAUGUCACAGACUCCUUCAGUUUAGGGGGUUUAGGCCGUGACGUCCUCGUCAACACUGGCUUAGUCUGUCAUUCCGACCUUGGCUCAGCUAAAACUUAUCUCACACUUUCGACUAGUAAACCGGCUUUGAUACCAAAUGUAACGACUCAACCUACUAACAAUAAUAAUUUAUUGGGCCCAAACCACCAACACAAAAUGCUCAAACUCAGUUAUUAUUAUUAGGAUGGAGUUCUCUUCUAUACCCAAUGACAAUUGCAUUUCUAUCCGAUGUGGGACUAUUAGGGUGUCACACUCUGAUAUUUUUGUAAAGGGAAAACUUCAAAAACCCCCUCUGUGGUUUCAUAGUUUCUCACUUUGCCCCCCUGUGGUUUAAAAUGUAUCAAAUUGCCCCCAUGUGGUUUUGUUUUUAUCUUUUCGAUAGCUUUUUCGUUAAUAUUUCAUUAAAUUAUAUACAAAAAACUUUAGAUACCCAUCUAGAUUUAUCAAAUAUUCACUUUAGUACCCUUUAAUUUUAACUUUAUCACUGAUUUAAGGAAAAAAAAAUAAUGAAAUUGAUAUGAAAAAGAGAAAAAAGAAACCACGGGGGGGCAAAUUGAUACAUUUUAAACCACAGGGGGGCAAAGUGAGAAACUACGAAACCAUAGAUAGGGUUUUUGAAGUUUUCCCUUUUGUAAAUAAUGUCGAAAAAUUAUGAAAUUUGGUUUCUAAAUAGUUCUAAUAGUGUAUAUCAUACAUAACGGAGUCGAUCGUCGAAUCAGAAGUCCUAUCAUCAAAAAAGGAUAAUUUCCUAUAUAUCCUUCAAAACAUCGAAAAUAUCUUAUUUACCUCUACUUUUUUUUUUUUUCUUUCCAAUAUACCUUUCAUAUGUUACUCUGUUAUUCCAAAAUACCCUUAGGGUGCGUUUGGUUCGAGUUAUCCUGGCAGGAUUACAGGCAAUCCUGCCAAGAUAACUGUGUUUGGUUAAUCUGCUAUGUAAUCUAGUCGUUAAUGUAGCAUUACAAAUCGAGCAGGAUUACAUUAAAAAUAUUAACGGGAGGGGGGUCAUGUAUCUUGCAUUACUGAAACCCGUUAAUACUACAUAUUAUGUAAAAUGACAAUUUUACCCUCCAACAACCCCAAAUCUAAUUAACAGCAUUAUUUUCAUCACUCUCGCCUUCCCCCUUCUCUCUCGCACGCCGCUUUCUCUCGCUCUCUCUCUCUCUCUCUCGCACGUCUCUCUCUCUCUCUCUCUCUUUCUCUCUCUCUAUCUCUCGCUCUCUCUCUCUCUCUCUCGCACGUCUCUCUCUCUCUCUCUCUCUUUCUCUCUCUCUAUCUCUAUCUCUUUCUUUAUCUCUCGCACGAACACCUAUCAUCUUCUAUUGCGUCGUCCUCCCAAGCAAUCAUCACGAUCUCCUUCCCUCCAUUCGUCAUUUUCGAAAAAAAAAAUUCAAAUGACCACAACAAGGGCAAUUUUGGAAAAAAAUUAUACUUUUAUAUUAGGAUUGCUAAAUUUUAUAAACUGAACCAAACGUAUUAAUGGUAUAAACACUGUAAUCUAGUAUUACAUUACUACAUUAAACCAAACGCGCUAAUGCAGCAUCAGUAGUAAUCUCACGCCGAAAUCCAAGAUACCUGGAUAUGUCGAGAUACUUUGUAAUAUUAGAUAACUCGAACCAAACGGGCCUUAGGGUGCGUUUAGUUCGCAUUAUGAAAGAUUACUAGAAAUAAAAGAUAUCCAAGAAUCUUAUUCAUAUUCAUCAUAUUACUAAGAAUGUGGAAUUCCUGUGUUUGGUUCGCACGGUAAUAUUAAUUAGCCAUGUUAUUUAAUAUUACAAAAAAUAUACAAUUAAUUAAUUAAUUAAUUUAUUUAAUUUAAAUAAUGUUACCAAAAGUUUCAACAUCUUUUUAGAAAAAAGGAAGAGAGAGUAUAAGUUAGAGAGAGAGAGCAUAAUUAAAAAAAUAGAAAGAAAAAUAUAGUCGAAAUUAGAGGGAUAGAGAGUUGAAAUUUAGAAAGAGAGAGAGAGAAAGCUUAGUUUAGAGAGAGAAAAAAAAGUUGAAUUUUAGAGAGAGAAAUAAGUUUAGAGAGAGAUAUAAGGUUAGAGUGUAAAGAAAAAUAAUAUCAAUUAGUCGGCGGGUAAGAAGAAAGAAAGAGAUUAGACAUAUUAUGAUUACCCCAAUCCAUUAAUAUGAGGAUA
rnacentral:lncRNA from 1 species